CCCAGUGCCCGCAGAGAAAAGACCAUGUGAGGUCGCUGCAAGAAGACAGCAUCUGGAAGCCGAGGAGAGAGGAUUCGCCUUGAUCUUGAACUUGGAGCCUCCAGAACUGUUGGAGUGCAAUGGUGUGAUCUCGGCUCACUGCAACCUCCACCUCCCAGGUUCAAGUGAUUCUCCUGCUUCAACCUCCAGAGUAGCUGGGAUUACAGAGGUCUGGCUGGUGAAAUGUCUGGGGCCACUGACCUACAUAAGAGACCUAAUUGCACAGCUUCCAGGCAGUCUACCCAAGAACUUCUACAUGGUUUCCAACUGGGAGACACAGCAAGCAAACUGGAAUGUUAUUAUUAAACCCAUGGGCAUCCGAUUCAUUGUCAUCUAUCAGGACACCAUCAUGUCAAA